rnacentral:rRNA from 1 species
AUUGAACGCUGGCGGAAUGCUUUACACAUGCAAGUCGAGCGGCAGCGCGGGGGCAACCCUGGCGGCGAGCGGCGAACGGGUGAGUAAUACAUCGGAACGUGUCCUUAAGUGGGGGAUAGCUCGGCGAAAGCCGGAUUAAUACCGCAUAAGCUCUGAGGAGGAAAGCGGGGGCUCCGUAAGGACCUCGCGCUGUUGGAGCGGCCGAUGUCGGAUUAGCUAGUUGGUAGGGUAAUGGCCUACCAAGGCGACGAUCGGUAGCUGGUCUGAGAGGACGACCAGCCACACUGGGACUGAGACACGGCCCAGACUCCUACGGGAGGCAGCAGUGGGGAAUAUUGGACAAUGGGCGCAAGCCUGAUCCAGCGAUGCCGCGUGCGUGAAGAAGGCCUGCGGGUUGUAAAGCACUUUCAGUAGGGAAGAAAGACCGAGUGCUAAUAUCAUUCGGUCGUUGACGUUACUUACAGAAGAAGCACCGGCUAACUCCGUGCC